CAUUUGAGUGAGUGGCGGACGGGUGAGUAACACGUGGGUAACCUGCCCUAAAGUGGGGGAUAACAUUUGGAAACAGAUGCUAAUACCGCAUAAAACCUAACACCGCAUGGUGUAGGGUUGAAAGAUGGUUUCGGCUAUCACUUUAGGAUGGACCCGCGGUGCAUUAGUUAGUUGGUGAGGUAAAGGCUCACCAAGACCGUGAUGCAUAGCCGACCUGAGAGGGUAAUCGGCCACACUGGGACUGAGACACGGCCCAGACUCCUACGGGAGGCAGCAGUAGGGAAUCUUCCACAAUGGACGAAAGUCUGAUGGAGCAACGCCGCGUGAGUGAAGAAGGUUUUCGGAUCGUAAAACUCUGUUGUUGGAGAAGAAUGUAUCUGAUAGUAACUGAUCAGGUAGUGACGGUAUCCAACCAGAAAGCCACGGCUAACUACGUGCCAGCAGCCGCGGUAAUACGUAGGUGGCAAGCGUUGUCCGGAUUUAUUGGGCGUAAAGCGAGCGCAGGCGGUUUCUUAAGUCUGAUGUGAAAGCCUUCGGCUCAACCGAAGAAGUGCAUCGGAAACUGGGAAACUUGAGUGCAGAAGAGGACAGUGGAACUCCAUGUGUAGCGGUGAAAUGCGUAGAUAUAUGGAAGAACACCAGUGGCGAAGGCGGCUGUCUGGGUCUGUAACUGACGCUGAGCUCGAAAGCAUGGGUAGCAAACAGGAUUAGAUACCCUGGUAGUCCAUGCCGUAAACGAUGAGUGCUAGGUGUUGGAGGGUUUCCGCCCUUCAGUGCCGCAGCUAACGCAUUAAGCACUCCGCCUGGGGAGUACGACCGCAAGGUUGAAACUCAAAGGAAUUGACGGGGGCCCGCACAAGCGGUGGAGCAUGUGGUUUAAUUCGAAGCAACGCGAAGAACCUUACCAGGUCUUGACAUCCUUUGACCACUCUAGAGAUAGAGCUUUCCCUUCGGGGACAAAGUGACAGGUGGUGCAUGGUUGUCGUCAGCUCGUGUCGUGAGAUGUUGGGUUAAGUCCCGCAACGAGCGCAACCCUUAUUACUAGUUGCCAGCAUUUAGUUGGGCACUCUAGUGAGACUGCCGGUGACAAACCGGAGGAAGGUGGGGACGACGUCAAAUCAUCAUGCCCCUUAUGACCUGGGCUACACACGUGCUACAAUGGAUGGUACAACGAGUUGCGAGACCGCGAGGUUUAGCUAAUCUCUUAAAACCAUUCUCAGUUCGGAUUGUAGGCUGCAACUCGCCUACAUGAAGCCGGAAUCGCUAGUAAUCGCGGAUCAGCAUGCCGCGGUGAAUACGUUCCCGGGCCUUGUACACACCGCCCGUCACACCAUGAGAGUUUGUAACACCCAAAGCCGGUGAGGUAACCCU
rnacentral:rRNA from 2 species